GGAUAGAAUGCAGAGCUCCGAGUGUGCAAAUGAGAACUCUCCUAGGCGAGCCACGCCUCUAGCCUGCUUGUAGAUGAUACUGAGACAAGAUCUCACUAUAGCUCAGGCUGCCCUCGACUCGAUAGCAUCCUGUGUCAGGUGUGGUUUUUCAUGCCUAACUUCAGCUUCCCUAUUUGUAAAGAUAAACAGUUUCUUUAUGAUGAACUAGUAUAACCAUCCAGGGAGAAGGGUGGGCAAAUGUUACGAGACCACAUCUGGGGCAGGAGGGUCAGGUGACCCAGAGACACUGCUCUUUAAUGGGUCCUCCCGUUGGUACCCACAAACCUCAGUCUCGUUCCAGCCCUGGAACUCUUGUUCUACAGUGGGCUCCUAGCCCCCAGCAAGUAAGUCUCAUGGGACAGAUGCUGUUCUUAUUCAGUCUCUGACCACAGCCCUGUCCAACCCCGCCCUGUAGCCUCCUGUCCCCAGUCCAAGUUCAGGUUCCCACAACAAUGAGGUCUCUUAGGGAAACCAGACCCCAGCAGAUGGUUCAUAGGUUCACACCUCUUUCCCCACAGCUGGAUGCACCUUUCAUCUGGGAGCAGACUCCUUCCUCCCCAUAACCCAACAUGCCCGGUCAGGAUACAUAUCAGAUGACCAAAAGGAUACCUUGAGGCUCAGCCUCUGAUACCAGCCAUGUCCUGAUUGCCAGGAGAUGGGCACUUUCCCCAGCUCACGCUCUGGCCUGUAUUCCAUCUCAGCAAACCCUCAUACAGGCAUGGACUCGCUCACGCUCACACACACACAGUGACGUCCUACACCUGGGCACCAGACGUCUUUAGGACAUUUUUUUUUUAAGACAGCCUGAUAGAACCCAAAUGGCUCACUAGGUAGCCAAUGAUGUCUUGAAUUCCUGAUCCUCCGAUGACCACCACACAGGUAUGUGUCACCACGCCCACCUAGUUUACUCAGAGCUUUGAGAAUGUUUAGCAUGCCUUCCAUCAACAGGGACGUCCUCAACCCUCCUGGUUGCUCUUGAGACGGGGUCUGGUUGGCUUUGAACUUACAUGUUGGGGGUCACAGGUGUGGCUCACCACGCCCAGCUGGGUGUUGGACUUUGGCAGAUCCCAUCACACAACUUCACGGUUUGCCUCCCUGUACCUCCAUCUGUCUAGGAACGGACUUGUGAACAGACCUUCAUACCAUCCCAGACACAUUUCCUUCAGGGACAUGCUUGGCUAGAACCUCACACUGACACCUGUGCAACAUAGUAUGAAACACACACGGGCGCAUACACACACACACACACACACACACACACACACACACACACACACACAGAAUCCGAACAUCUCCAAGCAAAGACAAACCAGGAUUGUCUCUCCCCAGGCUGGUAUGUACACAGGUGUGCACAGGUAUGCAAACUGCCACCACCACUGGAAAGUACUCAGGUGACUCAGAGGACCCCUUCGAGCUUGGACAGGAGGUAGGGACCAUCCUGACUGGCGGGAGUGUAGCUUUGACAGGACCCCUAACACGGAGCUGGCUCCCAAGAGGAGACAGUUCCCAGAACCCUCCCUGUCUCGAGGAGGGGGGAUCUGGAGCUGAAGGGCUCAUCCAUCUCCGGGAUUCCCCAUCAGUCUUGCCACCUGGCCGGCAGGGUCCCGCAGAUUGUGGACAGCGUGGGACCAGCGAGGGGCAGCGUGGGACCGGCGAGGGGCCCCUUACCUCCAGGCUGCGCGGGAUGGAGGAGGUUGAGCAAGAGGAUCAGCAAGACGCCAGGCUGCGGGACUACCGCUGUCAGACCCGCCAUCUCGGGGAGGACUGCCCCAGCCUGCUCUCAGCGCCUCGUUUUAUCCCCAAAGCGUAAUUGCUGCCUGCAUGGAUGAUGGCUUCCCUAUGCCCACAUGGAUGGAGCCCUCUUCAGUGAACUCCCCUAGUCAUACACUCUAGCACCUUCCUUGACAUCAAAGCCAUAGGCAAUUGGCAGAAUCGCAUACAAAUGGCUGGGAGGAGCCACUGGAAACUCAGAUGUCAUGUGAGCAGCCACCUCAUGCUCCUGCCGCCAUACUCGACGCCAUGCUCUCCCUGUCAUGAUGGACUGGAUCCCCUCUCUUCCUUAAGUUGCUUUUUGUUGUAGCAAUAAGGAAAUGAACUCAUAUAGAUACAAAGUGUUCUCUGAGACAGUCCUGCAUUCAAGCCUUGGUCCCAAGUCUGUGGACUCAAUCUUUCUUCUUCUUCUUCUUCUUCUUCUUCUUCUUCUUCUUCUUCUUCUUCUUCUUCUUCUUCUUCUUCCUCUUCCUCUUCCUCUUCCUCUUCCUCUUCCCCUUCUCCUCCUCCUCCUCCUCCUCCUCCUCCUCCUCCUCCUCCUCCUCCUCCUCCUCCUUCUUCUUUAAAUAUAGUUUAAUGUGUUUUAACAUCAAACUCGCAGGAACAGCACAGAAGACAAGCAACAUUAAAAACAUGCAUGCAUUUUCAUGCAGGGAAACUCAGAAAAGUGAAUGGCAAAUGAAUGAUAUCUUCUAUAAAAAGAAAAAAAAAACCUGCCACAAACACCUUUUAUUUGCCAUCAAUAAAAAAUAUACUUAUUUUUUAAAACCCUAAUGCUGACAUUGUUCAGAAAAUUUUAACAGCUUUAUUCAUGGUUGUUAUAAAGUUGAACUGUUGAGUGUGUUCAUGGGCACAGUUUUACCUGCAUUAAAAUGCUUUACAUCUUGCACUGAGAUUAAAAAUUUACACGCAGAUGAAAACGGAGAAGCUGCCAAUACCUGAUUGUGCCCCCUAUUUUUCCACUCACAACCACAUACUUAGGUACCUUUUGGCCCCAUGGAAAAAUUAUCUAACAUUCAGAACAGGAAGAAGAGGGGGACUUUUUUUGGGAGGGGGUUGAGGGAAUAAAAUCUUUCCCCUCAUA